rnacentral:rRNA from 1 species
AACGAACGCUGGCGGCAUGCCUAACACAUGCAAGUCGAACGAGACCUUCGGGUCUAGUGGCGCACGGGUGCGUAACGCGUGGGAAUCUGCCCUUGGGUUCGGAAUAACAGUUAGAAAUGACUGCUAAUACCGGAUGAUGACUUCGGUCCAAAGAUUUAUCGCCCAGGGAUGAGCCCGCGUAGGAUUAGCUUGUUGGUGAGGUAAAAGCUCACCAAGGCGACGAUCCUUAGCUGGUCUGAGAGGAUGAUCAGCCACACUGGGACUGAGACACGGCCCAGACUCCUACGGGAGGCAGCAGUGGGGAAUAUUGGACAAUGGGCGAAAGCCUGAUCCAGCAAUGCCGCGUGAGUGAUGAAGGCCUUAGGGUUGUAAAGCUCUUUUACCCGGGAUGAUAAUGACAGUACCGGGAGAAUAAGCCCCGGCUAACUCCGUGCCAGCCGCCGCCGUAAGAC